UACGGAGGGUGCGAGCGUUGUCCGGAAUCAUUGGGCGUAAAGGGCGCGUAGGUGGCCCGCUCAGCGUGCGGUGAAAGCCUGGGGCUCAACCCCGGGUCGGCCGUGCGAACUGGUGGGCUCGAGCACUGUAGAGGCAGGCGGAAUUCCGGGUGUAGCGGUGGAAUGCGUAGAGAUCCGGAAGAACACCGGUGGCGAAGGCGGCCUGCUGGGCAGUAGCUGACACUGAGGCGCGACAGCGUGGGGAGCAAACAGG
rnacentral:rRNA from 1 species